AAUUUUUUACAGCUGUGUCAUACUUCUGAUACUAAGGUAAUAUAUAAGGCUUAGGAACCGAGUGGUUAACCAUCAGUUUGAGCAGGAUCAGAAGAGGUUUAUGAAACUUUUGAAAAGAGCUGCCACUUUGGGUAAACACUGAAAAUGGGGGCUAAAGAAAUAUUUGUGAUACUACUCAUAAUAAAAGCUGCUCCUACCACAACAACAGCUCCUCCCACCACAAUGACAGCUGCUCCUACCACAACAACUGCUGCUCCUACCACAAUGACAGCUGCUACUACCACAACAACUGCUGCUCCCACAACGACGACAGCUGCUCCAACCACAACAGCUGCUGCCUCCACAACAACAUCCUCUCCUACUACAACAACGGCUGCUACCACCACGACGACAGCUGCUCCAAGCACAACAGCUUUUCCUACCACAACGACAGCCGCUCAUACCACAACAACAGCCGCUCCAACCACUACAACUGCUGCUCCUACUACAACAAUGGCUGCUCCCACCGCAACAACUGCUGCUCCUACCACAACAACUGCUGCUCCCACCACAACAACUGCUGCUCCCACCACAACAACUGCUGCUCCCUCUACAACAACGGCUGCUCCUACCACAACAACAGCCACUCC